AACGAACGCUGGCGGCAGGCCUAACACAUGCAAGUCGAACGCAUUGGCUCUUCGGGGCUGGUGAGUGGCGCACGGGUGAGUAACACGUGGGAACGUACCCUUUGGUUCGGAAUAACGUCUGGAAACGGACGCUAAUACCGGAUGAGCCCUGUGGGGGAAAGAUUUAUCGCCAAGGGAGCGGCCCGCGUCUGAUUAGGUAGUUGGUGGGGUAAAGGCCUACCAAGCCUUCGAUCAGUAGCUGGUCUGAGAGGAUGAUCAGCCACACUGGGACUGAGACACGGCCCAGACUCCUACGGGAGGCAGCAGUGGGGAAUAUUGGACAAUGGGCGGAAGCCUGAUCCAGCCAUGCCGCGUGAGUGAUGAAGGCCUUCGGGUUGUAAAGCUCUUUCGCACGCGACGAUGAUGACGGUAGCGUGAGAAGAAGCCCCGGCUAACUUCGUGCCAGCAGCCGCAGUAACAC
rnacentral:rRNA from 1 species